UUUUACCUGUGGAGUCCCAGCAGUACUGAACUUUUUUCACAGGCCUCAAGAUACUGUCCAUUGUUUUGCUCAGUUCCCAAAUCUCCAAGAGAAAGAGGAUAAUACUCUUGAUUCAGAAAAUAAAUACAUUAAAGGAUCCUAACAGAAAAUAACUUCCGUUCGUGUACUCUACAGCCUGUCACUUAAAAAUAGCUUCUAAAAUUAUAGGUUUGAGACGGUCUCUCUUCCUGAGGAGAGCUAGCUGCUGCGCAGUGCAAUCGUGUUCUCUUCUAUGGAGCGAACAACUGAUAAACGUGCAACUUGCAACGAAGGAACUAAAGAUAAUAUUGCGCUUGGGAUUCGCGGAGGAAUCUGCCAGCUCAGCCUGGUCAGCAGGUGACUAUCUGAAGUAGUUUCAUACGUUACCGCCAUGCUGCUGGAGGGUACCACCUAGUAGGCACGGUGGGCAGGACAGCCACUGCAGCUUGCACUAAACUCGAGCGAACUGACCUUUGCUGGAGCACGCGCAGGCGCAGGUACCCUUCCUGGCCUGACCUCUCUGCUGAGGGGCUGGAGGUGGGAAGCGAUAACCUCUGAAACAGCCGCAGCUCAGCAGUCAGCACCCUGGAGGAAUUUGGCUCUUAAAUCCAAUUAGAUUUGUGGACUGAACUCUUUUAUACUCCCUUCAGAACAUUACUUCACUCUGUCAAUGUGAAGUCUUGCAUAUGCAUUCUUUCCCUUUUAUUGAGUGUUUUCAUUUGUUUGAACUUUAUUUUAAUGGCUAUUUAAAAACA
rnacentral:lncRNA from 1 species